rnacentral:lncRNA from 1 species
UUUGAUGUGAUUGAGAAUGGUACGUUUAUUAAAAUUUUGUUGUAGGAGGGUUGGUUGCACGUAUCGAAGAAGAAGUCGCACAUCGAAAAGGUUAUGCAUGCUUUGUGCAAGUUUGACAUUCAAUUUCAGAAUGACUUUUAUAAUACCUUUUGGAAUAAGGAAUCAACUCACGAGUCCAACACACGGUUUUUUCGUGAUUUAUGUGCUUUUUAAGUCAUCCGCGUUUGUU